AAAUCGCACAAGGGUUGUGGCGGUUCAUACGUGUUUGUACAAGAAAAUCGAAAAUCAGGAAAACCGUCGUGAAAUUUGCGCCCUUCGGAACGUCGCUUUCGUCGAGGGUUGAAAUUCCCAAGCAGUUUUACCCUCUAAGUUGCGUAUGCACGUGGUCCUUCGAGGAGGAGUGGUGCACGUCAAUCGUUAUCUCCCCUAACCUUUUCGCGAGCUCUCGAGGUGAAAAAAUUGUCAUCGUUCGGAGUAUCGCGAGUCCCGAGGGCGCCGAAAAAUGUGGUUCCCGAUUUCCUCUUGUCCGUGAGAAUCGUCGUCGGCGCCACGACGGCUUCGAGGCACAAACAACUCGAUGGGGCGGCCUGUACGGCCUCAACUCUCGUGACUCUCGCCUUCGGACUUUGUCGUCUCCGGACUUUGUCACGAAUUUCCAGGAGUCAAUCUUGCCUCCUGGCUCUUGAGUUUCGAGUUCUCGCCGGGAAAAUUGGCAAAAUUUGGCAGCCUUUUUCAAACGCCAUGGCUUCCUCCACCAGGGGCAUCCAAAUCGGAAACGCCUGGUUCCAGAAGAAGAUCAACCUCAGACCCCAGCACCGAGGCAUCCACCUCGUCACGGAGGAAAUAUUGAGACAGAUUCCUGAACUCUGCCAGUUUUCGGUUGGCCUCUGCCAUAUACAGAUUCUUCACACUUCGGCGAGUCUGGCAUUAAAUGAAAGUUGGGAUCCGGAUGUAAGGGACGACAUGGAAAUGAUGCUAAAUAAGAUAGUUCCUGAAGGUUUGGAUUACAGACAUAGCUGUGAAGGUCCAGAUGACAUGCCUGCGCACGUGAAGGCGUGUUUUCUCGGCUCGUCUCUCAGCAUCCCAAUCACCGCUGGAAAAUUGGCGCUCGGGACCUGGCAAGGAGUCUGGCUCUGUGAGCAUCGCGACCACGCGGGCAGUCGCAAGUUGGUCUUGACUCUGACUGGCUGCCUAAGGGACUCGGCCCGCAGUCCCCUAAGUCCCGUAAGUCCCAUCGCCUCUACCAGCAGCUAGGACCACUCUCAUCCCCAAAGGCGUGGCAAACGUCAGCUACGCAUAUCUACUUCUAGCGAAUCGAGCUAGCAGCUGCCUACUUUAGCCGAGUCCUAAGAGUAGAGUCUCAGGAAGAGUGAUCGGAUACUUGGGGAAAGAUACUAACUAAACAUAUUCCAAUCCAUUUUUAUUUUAAAAACUGACCAGCAGCAACGUUUCAGAAUUGAGAGGACAGCAAAGAAACCAAAAAAAAAGAAAGAAAUAAAUAAAAUACGAUUGAAAAUUCCAAAGAGAAUCUGAGAAAGGUCUGCUGGAAUAAUUUUUCUCGAUUGAAAAAGAUCGAAACCUAUUUCGCACCUAAUUCUUCACUCAUAUUUAAUCGAUAAAGCACAAUAUCGAAAAGAAUUGACGCCACUAGCUUAAUGAUAAAACAAUUUUUUUUAAAGUUAGCUUUUGUACUCCGUGCGAAAUUUAAUAGCUGGAUAUAGCGGACCUGCAAAUCGGUGCGACUUGAGGGAAAGAAAAUAAUAAUAAAUAAAAAGGCCCCGAAGACCGUAUAAAAUUAAUGAUUGCAAAUUUCAGUUUGCAGAAUUAAAAUCGCGAUUGCAGAUUAGUGUAAGACGAUUAAAAAUAAGUGGUGUACAUAAGAAAAUGCGCAUUCAAGUGGUGUGGGUGUGAGAUUGUUUUUGUGUGAGUAAAUUAUUAUUGUAAAUGGUAACUGAGAUUAAUUCCAGCGCACUUGAGAAAUAGACAUUGUUGGAAAGUGACAAUAUAGAGGAUUUAGUAGAUAUAAUUUUUUUAUCAUAGUGCAAAGUGUGCUAUGCGCAAUUCCAUUUUCUCCUGCUAACAAUUGUUUUGAGAACUUGUAUAAAAAGUUACUCUAAUUUUUGUUUGAAAUUUUUAAAAUCUGUUUCAGAAACGCUGAAGCGUUUUCGAUAAUAAAAUGCUCCUAUUCUGAAAGCGAUCUCAAUUUCAAAACAAUUUAAAAUGACAUAUUUACUAUUAUGAAACGUUUCAAAUUUUCGUGACACUUCCCCCUUUGAAACGUUACAUUUUUAGGCGUUUCCGAUUUGAAAUAAUGAUUAUAAUUUGAAAAAUAUUUUUCUCUUCAAAAUUCAAAAUUUGAAACGCUUGUUUUAAGAUGAUUUUUUUAAUUGAUCAACGUUUGAAAUUUGGAAGGAAACGUUUGUUAAAAUAAAACAUGUAAAUUCGAAAACGUUGCAAAAAUGGGAGCGUUUCGUAUAGAUAAUGAUUAAUUUGUUAAAAUUCAUAAAUGAUUUUAAUCAUAAAUCGAAAUUGCAGGAGAGAUAGGAGUGAGACAGAGUGAAUGUCAGAAAUAAGAGAUGGGAGAGAGCACAUUGUUAUUUAAUUAUUAACGAUAUGAUUCAUAUGAUACGAGGAUAUAAAUAUAAGGAGGAUUAAACAAAUAAGUAACGAUAAUCGAUGACAUGUAAAAUUACUUACAUGAUCGAUAAUGUACUUCACAGACAGCCCUUAACUUCGUUACUAGCCAAGAGAAAAUCGCCGGCCCACAACAAACUUUCCGUAUCACGCAUUUAAAUUAACGAAUAAGAGACAAAAGUAAGAGAAAUUUUGUCAAUACGAGUAUGCUACUUUGUAUAUUACGCUUAAGUAUGUAAACGCGCAGAAGGUAUGCGAGGAUGGUCUGAAAAGCAGAAAAGAAAAGAGCCUGCAAAAGAUCAUAUUUAUUGGAAAAAUUCAAAAUCAUAAACUACUUUCCCUCGGAUCAUCCUGCAUAUGUGCGACUUUCUUCUAGGAAUUAAUGAUCUCUUUUUCAAACGUUUAGAGACUCAAAAACCCUAUUAUUUGAUUGAAAACGGGUUUUUAAAUUUAAUUUCGAAGCGUUUUUUAAGCGUUUUUAAGUUACAAAUGUUUCAAAAUUAUUCCUAAGCAUUUUCCAUCUAGAAAGUCUUUAGAAACGCUUGCGAAACGCUUCUUUUAGCAACCCAAAAUGUAAAAUUUUUCAGAAAAAAAUCCGUUUUUCGGGUAAAUAAAAUUGGGGUUAAUUAAUCAGAGUCUGGAAUAGACUUGCGAGGAUAUAAAAGUUUAAUUUGUUUAGAAAGCUAUUUAGAAAGGGGAACUCUGAUUGUUUCCAUUGCACGCACAUUAGUCGAUGACUAAUUAUUAAUUAAUCAUUAUUCAUCGCUUAAAAAUGAAGUAUGAAUUGAAUCGAAGCCUUCUCUUCACACCUUGCAUUAUUUUCUUUGUAAUAUUAUAUAUUGCUUGGCAAUUUGUAUAUUUAUGGUUUCGUCGAUUAGAGCGUUUCCUACGACUACGCUGUAUAAAUUUAAUUAUUAAUUAAUAUAAUAAUUCCGAUCGAUUUAGUGGCUCGAAAACGAAUCACCUAGGAAUAUCUCUGAUAAUAAGUCGAUUUAAUAAAGUGCUGGUUUCUGUUUUCCACAGUGCCAUUGCCACACGAUUCGGAAUCAGUCUUUUUUCUUUCUUCAAUAUUCAAGCGUUUCGGAAGCGUUUUAGGCGCAUUUUUUAGGGAAAAACAUUUCAGCAUGAUUUUCAAACGUUUAUAUUUUAAAAACGUUUCAAAAACGCUUCCUGAACGUUUUGAAAAAACGUUCAAAACCCCGAUUUCUAUAACUGCCAAGGAGGAAAAUCUAUCAAAAUGAAACCAAGCACUAGCGUAAUGAAUUUUUAUUUUCAUCCAGCACUUUGCUGAGGGGACAAAAUACCUCUUUGCUUUCACUUUUUAGGCUCUACGGUUAAUCCGUUUAUCGAAAAUUAAAACAAGUCUUACAUCCUAAACAUGAGGCGUACAAAUACAUAUAAUACUAAAUUUCUUAUUGGUUCGAUACUGAGCUGCAUUUUUUCCAGAGAUAGAAACACAAAAGUGUCGAAUCUCAAAAACGGAAUUAAAACGAAAAAGAUUAAUUAAAUUUGUAAAAAUGAAAAUCAUUCGAUUGACACUUUUCGUGUUUGUGUCUCUGAAACGUUUCGUUCGUUUUUAUCUAUUGUAGAUAGUAAAUGCCUUUUCAAGGAUAUAAAAUAUAAAAAAUUCUAGCGAACUCCGUGACAUUGUUCGCGUUAAUUGAAGCAUCGCUUUCAGAAAAUAUCACGAUGUACAAUUUAGCGAUUAUUCAAAUAUCGUGGGUCAUGUAUUUGUUAUAUCAGAAUAUAAAACAGUAUAAUUAUAAAAAGUA